AGAGCCCAACACUGAAUCCCCGUCCGACAGGCAGACAUAGAAAAUGUGGUGUAUGGAAGACCGCUUGCCCAGUGUUGCUCAGGGGUCUGAGUCCUUCUGAUCGAGGCUCAGCCCAUGGACGGUGUGAGGCCAGUGACGGGUUGUUUGGGAAUGCAGUCCAAAGUGGGUGGUAAACUCCAUCUAUGGCUAAAUACCGGUACAAGGCCGAUAGUCGACAAGUACCUUAAGGGAAAGUUGAAAAGAACUUUAAAGAGAGAGUUCAAGAGGGCGUGAAACCGUUGAGAGGUAAACGGGUGGGGUCCGUGCAGUCUGCCCAGGGGAUUCAACUUGGCGGGUCAGAGACGGCC
rnacentral:ncRNA from 1 species